CCGGGCACAUAAGGCCGUCCCGGGGCAAGGCCAGGCAAUGCAAUGCAAGGCAGCGCAGCCAUGGCGUCCUGCCGGGACUGCUGCUACAGCCUGCUCUUCGAGUACGACACCCCGCGCAUCGUCAUGAUCCGCAGCCGCAAAGUGGGGCUCAUGAACCGGCUGGUGCAGCUCGGCAUCCUCGCCUACGUGGUCGGCUGGGUCUUCAUUUGGGAAAAGGGCUACCAGGAGAUCGACUCCGUAGUCAGCUCUGUUACGAUCAAAGUGAAAGGAGUAACUGUGACCAACACAUCAACUCUGGGACCCCGGGUCUGGGAUGUGGCUGACUAUGUUAUUCCACCUCAGGAAGAGAACACCGUCUUCAUCAUGACAAACAUGAUCAUGACACUGAAUCAAACGCAAGGUUCCUGUCCCGAGCUUCCAGAUAACAAAACUGUGUGCAAGUCUGAAGAGGACUGCCAUGCAGGAUAUGUAGGCACUCAUAGCAACGGAGUCCAGACUGGGAACUGCAUUAAGUACAACGGCUCCAUCAAAACCUGCGAGAUCUACGCAUGGUGUCCUGUGGAGGAUGAUACGAAUGUACCCAGGCCAGCUUUUCUAAAGGAUGCUGAGAACUUCACCAUUUUAGUGAAGAACAACAUCUGGUAUCCCAAGUUCAACUUUGCCAAGCGAAAUAUUCUCCCUAGUAUCAAUUCCACAUACCUGAAGGGCUGUAUCUAUGACGCUCAAACGGAUCCCUUCUGCCCGAUAUUCCGGAUCCAAAAGAUAAUGGAGGCUGCAGGACAGAACUUCCAGGAGAUGGCUGUGGAGGGUGGCAUUAUGGGGCUGCAGAUCAAGUGGAACUGCGACCUUGACAAAGCGGCUUCUCUCUGCGUGCCGAGAUACAGCUUCCGUCGCCUUGACGACAAGAAUUCCAAAUACACCGUCUCCCCAGGCUACAACUUCAGAUUUGCAAAGUACUACAGGGACACAAGCGGCCUCGAGGCACGGACCCUCAUCAAGGCGUAUGGCAUCCGCUUUGAUGUCAUAGUGUUUGGAAAGGCAGGAAAAUUUGACAUCAUCCCUACAAUGAUUAACAUUGGCUCUGGUUUGGCACUGCUGGGAGUGGCAACAGUCCUGUGUGACAUCAUUGUCCUGUAUUUUAUGAAGAGAAGACACUUCUACAGAGAGAAGAAGUACAAAUAUGUGGAGGACUAUGAACUGCUGCUUUGCACUGGAGGAGAACAGAGCUUGAAUGACUGAAAGCCAUCGGCACUUCCUGCUGGGGACAGACAGACAUCCUGCCCUGUAACUGUAAGAUGUGGUGGGAAAGGCCAAGGAUUUGAGCUGAACUCUUGCAACAAAAGCAGUGGGGCAGCUCUCUGGUAAGACAGUAUCUCCUGUCUGGCCUGACCAAGUACAUGGCAUAAGCUUCCAGUCCUGGGCUCCAGAGAGGAGGGAGGCAACUCCACCUAUGGGACGCAGCCGUGACAUCCUUGGAACUGCAGCAUCAACCGCCAUAUGUGAAGCACCGCUGCAAUUAGUGCCCCACUUCACAUGUGGACAAUGAAGAGAUGCUGCAGGUUCUCUCCUUGGGACAAGAGACUUUCUUGCUACACGGAUGCAGCACAGCAGAAGCCAAAGGGAAACUUGGGGUUGCUAGUGUUUUGGAGUUUUGUUCAUGGUAUCAGAAGCAAAGAUCAAGCUAUAGGAUUUGCCUUUUUUUGCCCCCCAUGGAAGCCUGGUGCAUUCCUAGUAUUUAAGUAUACUACUGGCUAUAUCCAUGCCCCAGUUGCCAGCUCAUCUCCUCUUCCCUUUUCAUCUCAACCCAGAGCACUCUGAAGGGCAGGGCAUAGCAGCACUGGGUGGCCUGGGAGGAGGAAGCUACGCUGCACGGGGGGCAACUCCUAGGCUGUGACCUGGUGGAAAUGCUGGUUGCCUUCCUGUAAGGCUACCUGUGAGUGAAAGAAGGGGUACAGAAAAAUGCCUUACUCACAGAAGAGACAUCCCUUGGAUUGCGUGAGCUCCAUACAGCAUUGUUCUUCACUUUGGGAGAGCACUGAGCCACAUCUUCCUGUCCCACACUUGUCUUCCUUUUGGGUGAGGGCAAGUCAGUCAGCUAAUCCUCCCCGGCCCGCUGCCACCCUGUCGGACCUGCGGCAGCCCCAGAAGCUGACGCCCUGCACUGUGUUGAGUGGCUGACCACUCUUUCUGGUCCAUUUAUUCAAAUUCAGUUUUUGCAAUAAAGGAAACGCAUCUGAAGCUGUGAAUUGCUGUGUGAGAACUGCUCUGAGCCAUGCUGGAAGGUGGUAAUGUGCCUCUCCUUCAAGAGCACACAAUGGACAUACAUUCAGCAAGUGCCUUGGGUUUUGUUCUCCACUGUAAGUUUAGUCCUCUGAACAGUGAAUAAAGCCAUUUCAGACUUC